rnacentral:rRNA from 1 species
AUUGAACGCUGGCGGCAUGCCUUACACAUGCAAGUCGAACGGUAACGCGGGGCAACCCUGGCAACGAGUGGCGAACGGGUGAGUAAUACAUCGGAACAUAUCCAGUAGCGGGGGAUAACCUAUCGAAAGAUUGGCUAAUACCGCAUACGAUCUACGGAUGAAAGCAGGGGACCGCAAGGCCUUGCACUAUUGGAGUGGCCGAUGUCAGAUUAGCUAGUUGGUGGGGUAAAAGCCUACCAAGGCGACGAUCUGUAGCUGGUCUGAGAGGACGAUCAGCCACACUGGAACUGAGACACGGUCCAGACUCCUACGGAGGCAGCAGUGGGGAAUUUUGGACAAUGGCGCAAGCCUGAUCCAGCCAUGCCGCGUGAGUGAAGAAGGCC